AGACAAACCCCAGCCACGUCUACAGCACACAAGAACUCCAAAUGCCUGAACCGCAGCUGCAAGGGGUUCCUCCAGAACCUCCUCCCCCAGAGCUUGCUACAAGUGCCAGAAAUCUGACCACUGGGCCAAGGAAUGCCCACAGCCCAGGAUUCCUCUUAAGCCGUAUCCCAUCUGUGUAGGACCCUACUGAAAAUCAGACUGUUCAACUCACCUGGCAGCCACUCCCAGAGCCCCUGGAACUCUGGCCCAAGGCUCUCUGACUGACUCCUUCCCAGAUCUUCUCAGCUUAGCAGCUGAAGACUGACACUGCCCAAUCGCCUCAGAAGCCUACAGGACCAUCACAGAUGCUCUAGGUAACUCUCACAGUGGAAGGUAAGUCCAUCCCCUUCUCCCAUUUGAGCUCCUGUAUAGAUGCUCCUUUUUAUUAGGCCCCAGUCUCAUUCCAGACACCAGACCAACUUGGAGUGUGCCCCAAAAAAACUUGUCAUCCCUACUAUCUUCUGUCUAGUCAUACUCCUAUUCACCAUUCUCAACUGCUGGUUUACACUGUUUCUCCAAGCCAUCACAGCUGAUAUCUCCUGGUGCUAUCCCCAAACUGCGACUCUUAUCUCUUGAAGUAAAUAAGUAAUCUUUGCUGACAGGACUAUGCUGAAUCUCCUUAGGCACUCUCUAAUUAGAUGUCCUAGGUCCUCCCAAUUCUUAGGCCUUUAAUACCUGUUUUUCUCCUUCUCUUAUUCCGUUUAGUUUUACAAUUCAUACAGAACCGUAUCCAGGCCAUCACCAAUAAUUCUAAAUGACAAAUGUUUCUUCUAACAACCCCACAGUAUCACCCCUUACCACAAGAUCUUCCUUCAGCUUUAUCUCUCCCACUCUAGGUUCCCACAUCACCCCUAAUCCCGCUUGAAGCAGCCCUGAGAAACAUCGCCCAUUAUCUCUCCAUACCACCCCCAAAAAUUUUCACCACCCCAACACUUUACCACUAUUUCGUUUUAUUUUUCUUAUUAAUAUAAGAAGACAGGAAUGUCAGGCCUCUGAGCCCAAGCUAAGCCAUCAUAUCCCCUGUGGCCUCCAGGUACACAUCCAGAUGGCCAGUUCCUGCCUUAACUGAUGACAUUGUCUUGUGAAAUUCCUUCUCCUGGCUCAUCCUGGCUCAAAAGCUCCCCCACUGCGUACCUUGUGACCCCCACUCCUGCUCGCCAGAGAACAACCCCCCUUUUCCCUUUACCUACCCAAAUCCUAUAAAACGGCCCCAUCCCAUCUCCCUUCACUGACUCUCUUUUCAGACUCAGCCCGCCUGCACCCAGGUGAAAUAAACAGCCAUGUUGCUCACACAAAGCCUGUUUGGUGGUCUCUUCACACGGAUGUGCAUGAAACUACCUACACCCAUACGGAAGGGAACAAAUCAUGAAAAGUAAUGGAAUGCUACAGCCUAGUCAGUUUUGAGAAAAGGCUAACCAACAACAACAACAACAAAUCAUAGUCAUGCUCAGAUUGCACAUGAACAAAAAAAUGUUGGAGAGAAACCAUUGAAAUAACUCACCGGUCCUCUUGUGUUGCUGCUUAUCUGAUUAUCUGAGGUCAAGGGAACUGAGGACAACAAAGGAAAUUAGGUCUUUCAUAGUUCUCAUUAAAUGCUGGAGGAGUCUGACUACUGCUGAGCUGAGCACUUCAGCGGCUUUGGAAAAGGAAGUGUGGUUACUUAUUUCACCACCUUCAUUGUGCUGGAGGAAAUAAGAAAUAGCUCUGAGACUAAUAAUAACAGAAACGGCAUCCACAGCAGCAGAGCCCAGUUGCACUUCCUAAAGGCAGUAUAAAUAAUUAAGUGUCUCUAUAGGCAAGCCACUAGGAAUAAACGAAAAAGAGCUGCAAUUGCUGAUGUGGUUUCACCCCAGUCCUGCCCAUGUUUCUUAACAGGAAAGGGAGUUGCAAUGCCAAUAAUAAAAUCUUAGAGCUGGAAAGAACAUUUAUUUGCCUGUUUAUUCAUUCAUUUACUCAGUCAUUAUUGGGCACUUACGGUAGACUAGUCGUUAUGUUACCUACUAGGAGCUUGGAUAUCACCCACUUUUAUGUCUUCAUUCUUUGAGCGAAGAGCUAUCUACAUGGUGAGUCCAAAAGUGCACAAGAGGAAACCUGGCUUGUCCAAACCAAGGGCUAUAACUUAGUUUCCUAACUGCCCAGCAAAAAUAUUUUCAGUUAGGCUCCACUUUAACUCUUAAAAAUGUGGCUUGUGAAUUACUUGAUGAAUAAUUUUACUUUCUUGAUUAUAUUAAGCACAAAAAGGAAGAGAAACACAAUUACAAUAUUAAAAUUGUGAAAGGCAUCUCACCAAGGUGCUUCUUCUGAGAACUCCAUGUCUCCAUUGCUUAUCUGAAACCUUUAUUUUGCUUGGCCUCUGGGUCCCACUGCCUCUGGAUUUACUUCUCACCUGCUGACUGCUCCUUCUUUUUUACUUUUUCUGUGUGCUCUCCAUCUUCCUGACCUCUUUAAUUUGAAUGUCCUGGGACUCAGCCCUUUGGCUUCUCUUUGCAAUCAGUGCACACACUCUAGAUUUACCCAUCCAAUGCCACAGCCUUAAAUAACAUCAAUAUUCUUCUGAUGGCUCUCAAAGUAAUAUAUUUUGCUCUGACGUCCCUCUU
rnacentral:lncRNA from 10 species